UUAAAGAGAAAAAUAUACCACUUCCUUUCACUCAUUGUGGCGAUAUGGGGAUUUCAGAUGAAUUUGAUGAUAACACUCGGAUUUUAGUCGCCUUUGAUGGUGCUCAACCCACUGCAUAUCAUGUUCGCCUUCGUGGCCGUGGUGAUAUUAAGCUCAUAUCUUGCAGGGUUCUAGCGGAAUGUAAAAUUGAUUUUGAUAUUGAUAUGCAUUACUCAGUAUCUGAUCGGAAACAAUUAGCUGAUAUGGGAGGUGGAAGGUUUUGUGUGAUGCGCACUACUUGAAGUAUAGAUUUUUUGAUAUAUGUCUUCAGAAUUGAUUUUGCACUUGAACACAACAUUCAAACCUCUGGAUGUGGAGGUUGUUUGUCAAAUAUUUUUUU